UCGCUUUUCCCUGAUUCCUGCUCUUAUGCAUGUACGAAUACGUAGCUACAAGUAACAUAUUCCGUCUCAGAAACGCCAACUUCAACGACAGCAGCAACAACAACUACGCCAACUCCAGCUACAGCAUCCUCAGUUUCAACUACAGAUUAUUUUGUCAAAGGUACGGUCACACUUUCAAAGAUUUAUCCGGUGAUAAAAGUAACAGAACUUUUCUCACAACAAAUAACUUGUCGCUCAAGUAUGUCGCUUUUACCUGAUUUUUGCGCCCAUGCAUGUAGAAAUACAUUGUUACAAGUAACAUGUUCCUUCUCAGAAAUGCCAACUUCAACAACAGCAGCAACAACAACUACGCCAACUCCACCAGACUCAGUUCCAACUACAGAGUCUUUUGUCACAGAAAGGCCAACUUCAAUGACAGCAGCAACAACCACUACGCCAGCUCCAGCUACAGGAACCUCAGUUACAACUACAGAUUAUUUUGUCACAGUAACACCAACUUCAACGACAGCAGCAACAACAACUAUGCCAUCUCCAGCUACAGCAUCCUCAAUUCCAACUACAGAUUAUUUUGUCCAAGGUACGGUCACAAUUUCCAAUAUUGAUCCUGUGAUAAAAGUAACGGCACUUUUCUCAUAACAAAUAACUUGUCGCUCAAGUAUGUCGCUUUUCCCUGAUUUUUGAGCUCAUGCAUGUAGAAAUACAUGGUUACGAGUAACAUGUUCCUUCUCAGAAACGCCAACUUCAACGACAGCAGCAACAACCACUACGCCUACUCCAGCUACAGUAUCCUCGGUUCCAACUACAGAUUAUUUGGUCACAGGUAUGGUCAAACUUUCCAUAUUUUAUCCCAUGAUAAAAGUAACAACACUUUGUUCAUAACAAAAAACUUGUCGCUUAAGUAUGUCGCUUUUCCCUGAUUCUUGCGGUUAUGCAUUUACAAAUACAUAGUUACAAGUAACAUGUUCCUUCUCAGAAACGCAAAUCCCAACAGCAACUCCAAUGACAGCAACAAAAACGACUACGCCAGCUCCAGCUACAACACCCCCAGUUCCAACUACAGAUUAUUUUGUCCAAGGUAUGGUCACACUUUCCAUAUUUGAUCCUAUGGUAAAAGUAACAGAACUUUGCUCACAACAAAUAACUUGUCGCUCAAGUAUGUUGCUUUUCCCUGAUUCUUGCGCCUAUGCAGCUUGUCAGCGUUGACUGACUGACAGGACAGAAAGGGUUGGGAGGAUUCUAAAUCCUGAAGCAUGGUUGUCAUGGCAUGGGAUAGGUGAACUGAAGGAUGAUUGAUGGAUGGAUUGAUUUACACAACCUUGAUAUAGUUAUACCACUGGUAAAACAACAAGCAUCUUAUGAUGCUAGACAUUGUAUUGUCUUUCCAAUCCUCUCACCCCUUUUUCACAGUUUCCAAAACAAUGGUAAUGUGGGGUUGAUUUUAAGACUGACUUUGAUUAAGAUAUUUCACUAUCUAAUCAAGUACUUUUUUACUCUUUCGUACAGUGACGGGUGGAGUCUCAAGUGGAAUGUACAAAAGCAGUGCCUUCAUCAUAUCUACGAUGGCACUUCUCUCAUGGCUACUCGUGUCAAGCUGAUCAUAGGACUUGGGUGUUCACUCAAGACAAACCCAAGACAACACAUAAGAACCAUUUUAACUAAGAAACAUUAUUAACCCUAUUAACCAUUUUCACCACAGAACUAUGUUAACCAAGAUAAACAUAAACAAAUGAAUAAUAUACAUUACUAAAUGAAUUGCUAUUUAAUCAUAAUACAAUAUUUAAUUUAAGAUAUCAUGCACUUUGCUUGUAAACAAAAGACUAUUCUUUUGAUAAAAAGAUUAAGCCAUCAUGUUUGCUCUUGUCUAUUGUCAUACAAAACUCUUAAAUGUAGACCACUCUAUACCUUAUAUGGGGAAAUACUGUGGCGAGCAGCACGGAAAGGAAGAAACGGGAGCCUAUGUUCAGCAGUUAUACAACUCUCGCGCCCCUUACACCGCACGACUGUGAGGGUUGCCUUUAUUUGACGCACACAUGCCACAACAAAACACACUCAAUCGAACGAAUUAACGUAACCGUCUCGUUGAGGGUGUCCCGAAUAAUAACUCACUAUCACACAGUAACACUAACCCAACCAUUGAGACAAACCCGAAAUAAUGUCUCUGCUGCAAAGGACCUAGGAGGGCGCCAGAGGUCCAGCUUGCGAUGGUCCUACCCCCCCCCCCCCCCCCCCCCAGGAUCCCUUGAGGCACCCUGAACACGGCGACCAUGCCCACGGUCGCCACAAUACUGUCAAAAUAGAAAGC
rnacentral:lncRNA from 1 species